rnacentral:siRNA from 1 species
ACGAUAAGUUCUGUCGAUUGUUGC